GCACGAACUUAGCCCGUGCUUCCUCCAGGGAUCGGUCAACCUUGCGGCUUCGUCCCCCUCGACAGUGCUUUACAACCCGAAGGCCUUCAUCGCACACGCGGCGUCGCUUGGUCAAGCUUGCGCUCAUUGCCAAAGAUCCUCGACUGCAGCCACCCGUAGGUGUCUGGCCAGUGUCUCAGUGCCAGUGGCGCGGGUCGUGCUCUCACACCCGCUAGACAUCUUCGCCUUGGUAGGCCGUUACCCCACCAACUAGCUAAUAUCACAUGAGCCCCUCCCGAGGCGAAAUUCAUUUCCUGGCCAAGAGAUGCCCCUCAACCAGAUCGCCGCGUAUUACCCACUCGUUAGAAUGGCUAUCCACGUCCCCAGGGUAGGUUACCCAUGCCUUACUGCCCCUUUCGCCACUUCCCCCAGCCCGGUAUUGCUACAAGGCUGGGAUUCGUUCGACUUGCAUGCCUAAUCCACGCCGCCAACGUUCGUU
rnacentral:rRNA from 1 species